rnacentral:misc_RNA from 1 species
UUUCCGUAGGUGAACCUGCGGAAGGAUCAUUAACAGUCUGGUCUGGUGCGCGGGGAUCGCUCUCCGACGCUUGUGCUGCGCGCCCCGUGUGCGUAGGUCAUCAAUCAUACACAUUGGAAUUGCGACUGAUGCUUGCAAGAACACGAACAACUUUUAACAAUGGAUCUCUAGGCUCUU